rnacentral:rRNA from 1 species
UACGAAGGGAGCUAGCGUUGUUCGGAAUCACUGGGCGUAAAGCGCACGUAGGCGGAUGUGUCAGUCAGGGGUGAAAUCCCGGAGCUCAACUUCGGAACUGCCUUUGAUACAGCACGUCUUGAGUCCGAUAGAGGUGGGUGGAAUUCCUAGUGUAGAGGUGAAAUUCGUAGAUAUUAGGAAGAACACCAGUGGCGAAGGCGACUCACUGGACACGUAUUGACGCUGAGGUGCGAAAGCGUGGGGAGCAAACAGG